rnacentral:rRNA from 1 species
GACGAACCGUGCAAACGUUGUUUCGGAAUCACUGGGCUUAAAGGGCGCGUAGGCGGGCAAGCAAGUCCGGGGUGAAAUCUUUCGGCUCAACCGGAAAAGUGCCUUGGAUACUGCUUGUCUGGAGGGAGGUAGGGGCAUGUGGAACUUCUGGUGGAGCGGUGAAAUGCGUUGAUAUCAGAAGGAACGCCGGUGGCGAAAGCGACGUGCUGGACCUCUUCUGACGCUGAGGCGCGAAAGCUAGGGGGAGCAAACGGG